rnacentral:rRNA from 1 species
AGCACGUAGGUGGGUUUGUAAGUCAGAUGUGAAAGCCUUCUGUUCAACGGGAGAACGGCAUCUGAAACUACAGAUCUUGAGUAUAGGAGGGGAGAAUGGAACUUCUGGUGGAGCGGUGAAAUGCGUAGAUAUCAGAAGGAACGUCGGCGGCGAAAGCGACUCUCUGGCCUAUUACUGACACUCAGUGUGCGAAAGCUAGGGGAGCAAACGGGAUUAGAUACCCCGGUAGUCCUAGCCGUAAACGAUGGGCACUAAGUAGAGGGGUUUU